UAACAUGCCUAAAUUGAAGGGCAUGGUGAUACAUACAAAAUUAAGGGAGAAGGAAUAAAAAAUCUAAUCAUAGUAAUAUUUAGUGCCUUUUCUUUCAAAAUAAAAUUGUGUCUUAUUUAAUGUCUUAUUUCAUUUCAUUAUCCACGUCUAAGAGUACAAAGCAUAAUUGCAAUGUCCAUAAAAUUCCGAAAAUAAAAAGAAAUAAAAAAAAUACAAUAUAUUGGGAGAAUAUUCAAGUAUCAGUUUUUUUUGUUUUGUUGAAGGAUGACAUUGACACAGUGACAGUAUCAGUUAUAUUUCAUAUUUUUUUCGCUGGUAUAUGAACUCAAUUUUACAUCGGUCUUCAAUGCACUUAAACCUAAAUAUGUUUGAUUUAAUUUGUGGACAAUCAAUACUGAACAUGCAUUCAAUACUAAUAUCUGUAAUGAACAAAGAUAAUAAAAUAAUAUCAAUAAAAUAUAUAAAAUAUUUUGUACGAACAACAAAGCAAAAAAGGAAAUUUUAAAAGUAUAAAAAUAGCUUACCUUCAAAGUUUCCUGCAACAUGAUACAGGGAAAUAAGUAAUAUCAUAACAUACACAAGCUUAAAAGUGGCAGCC
rnacentral:lncRNA from 1 species